AGGUGACCGUGUGGCUUUUGGGGAGGGGGGUUCUUCUUUCUUUCUGUAUAUUCAUUUGAUUUUUGCCCUUUUCUCCCCCUCCCCCGCCUCCCCUCCCUCGGAAUAAAAUAUGAUGUAGAUUUCUGACCGAGCGCUUCCAAUGGACAUUCUCCAGUCUCUCUGGAAAGAUUCUCGCUAAUGGAUUUCCUGCUGCUCGGUCUCUGUCUAUACUGGCUGCUGAGGAGGCCCUCGGGGGUGGUCUUGUGUCUGCUGGGGGCCUGCUUUCAGAUGCUGCCCGCCGCCCCCAGCGGGUGCCCGCAGCUGUGCCGGUGCGAGGGGCGGCUGCUGUACUGCGAGGCGCUCAACCUCACCGAGGCGCCCCACAACCUGUCCGGCCUGCUGGGCUUGUCGCUGCGCUACAACAGCCUCUCGGAGCUGCGCGCCGACCAGUUCACGGGGUUAAUGCAGCUCACGUGGCUCUAUCUGGAUCACAAUCACAUCUGCUCGGUGCAGGGGGACGCCUUUCAGAAACUGCGCCGAGUUAAGGAACUCACGCUGAGUUCCAACCAGAUCACCCAACUGGCCAACACCACCUUCCGGCCCAUGCCCAACCUGCGAAGCGUGGACCUCUCAUACAACAAGCUGCAGGCGCUCGCGCCCGACCUCUUCCACGGGCUGCGGAAGCUCACUACGCUGCACAUGCGGGCCAACGCCAUCCAAUUUGUGCCCGUGCGCAUCUUCCAGGACUGCCGCAGCCUCAAGUUUCUCGACAUAGGAUACAAUCAGCUCAAGAGCCUGGCGCGCAACUCUUUCGCCGGCUUGUUCAAGCUCACCGAGCUGCACCUGGAGCACAACGACUUGGUCAAGGUGAACUUCGCCCACUUCCCGCGCCUCAUCUCCCUGCACUCGCUCUGCCUGAGGAGGAACAAGGUGGCCAUUGUGGUCAGCUCGCUGGACUGGGUUUGGAAUCUGGAGAAAAUGGACCUGUCGGGCAACGAGAUUGAGUACAUGGAACCCCAUGUGUUUGAGACCGUGCCGCACCUGCAGUCCCUGCAGCUGGACUCCAACCGCCUCACCUACAUCGAGCCCCGCAUCCUCAACUCCUGGAAGUCCCUUACGAGCAUUACCCUAGCCGGGAACCUGUGGGACUGCGGGCGCAACGUGUGUGCCCUGGCGUCCUGGCUCAGCAGCUUCCAGGGGCGCUACGACGGCAGCUUGCAGUGCGCCAGCCCUGAGUACGCCCAGGGCGAGGACGUCCUGGACGCCGUGUACGCCUUCCACCUGUGCGAGGAUGGGGCCGAGCCCACGAGCGGCCACCUCCUCUCUGCCGUCACCAACCGCAGUGAUCUGGGGCCCCCCGACAGCUCGGCCACCACGCUCGCGGACGGCGGGGAGGGGCAGCACGACGGCACGCCCGAGCCCACCACAGUGGCUCUCCCAGGCAGCGAGCACGCGGAGAAUGCCGUGCAGAUCCACAAAGUGGUCACGGGCACCAUGGCCCUCAUCUUCUCCUUCCUCAUCGUGGUCCUGGUGCUCUACGUGUCCUGGAAGUGUUUCCCAGCCAGUCUCAGGCAGCUCAGACAGUGCUUUGUCACGCAGCGCAGGAAGCAGAAGCAGAAACAGACCAUGCAUCAGAUGGCUGCCAUGUCUGCCCAGGAAUACUAUGUUGAUUACAAACCGAACCACAUUGAGGGCGCCCUGGUGAUCAUCAAUGAGUAUGGCUCAUGCACCUGCCACCAGCAGCCCGCGAGGGAAUGCGAGGUGUGAUUGUCUCAGUGGCUCUCAACCCAUGCGCUACCAAAUACUCCUGGGCAGCCGGGCGGGCCGGCGGGCACCAGGCUGGGGUCCCCUUGUCUGUGCUCUGAUAUGAUCCUUGACUGAAACUGUACGGGGAUCUCUCCCAGAGACUUGACAUUUUAGCUUUAUUGUGUCUUAAAAACAAAAACGAAAUAAAACACAACAAACAAAACCCCACCCCACAACCUUCAGGACAGUCUAUCUUAAAUUUCAUAUGAGAAAUCCUUCCUCCCUUUGAAGAUCUGCCCAUAUUCAGGAAUCUGAGAGUGUAAAAAAAAAAGAUCCCAUACCCAGUCUGCUUUCUCUGAGCGUACCUCUCCCCAGCAGCGUAUAACUUUUUGAUGUUCUGAGAGAUUAAACGAGACUUCUGGAACAAAAUUCUUACUUGAUUGAGUGAACAUCACUUAUUCCAUCCUCACCAUCAAAAGGGCACGCACUGCUCUUUGAGCCUUCAAUUGCUGGCUCCAGCUAUGUUUUAUAUCUGUCUCUGUGAGAUAGCGUUCUUGGACCUAACAGACAAGCAGCCCUCAGUUUCAAAAAUAUUCAGCUACAUAUCCAGGACCAAGCAGCUUGCUGGGUUCCCCUGUUUAUCCUGGGCCACCAAACCCAAAGAAAUGGGAUGAAGGCUGAUGUGAUUGAAGACAGAAUCCGUUUUUGUUUUUAUGUUCUACCAAGCCCAGCUUCUGAUAAAAAAAAAAAAAAAAAAAAAAAAAAAAAAAGGGAGAAGAAGAAGAAGAAUCCUGCUUCAAGCUCCCUUCAAGCUCCCUGCCAGGCUCCCUUCCUCCCUUUCUUGUCGAAGCACUCCACCAUCUGUGCAGACUGCAUAACAGCAAUUUCUGGAAACAGGCUGAAGAAUUUGGGCCAGUCCAGAGGCAGUGGAUUUCUGCUGUCUGGGAGGUGCAGUUCUAGAGAUUUUAUUUUUCACCUUAAUUCUUUUAACUACUGCCAGUUCUUUGAAGCACAUCUGUUACCAACAGCUUCUGUUUGUAAAGCAGAACUGAAGGUACCCUCUCCAGAGAAAUUCUUGAAUCUUCUCUGUAGUUCAGUGCUUGCGUUAACAGCUUGGCUCACAAAGUAUGACUGCGGUAAAUAUUAAAGAAUGUUAAUAAAAAUGAGAUAAAACACC